rnacentral:rRNA from 1 species
CACUGCCGAGAAAAGCCUCUAGAUAGAAAAUAGGUGCCCGUACCGCAAACCGACACAGGUAGUCAAGAUGAGAAUUCUAAGGUGAGCGAGCGAACUCUCGUUAAGGAACUCGGCAAAAUGACCCCGUAACUUCGGGAGAAGGGGUGCUCUUUAGGGUUAACGCCCAGAAGAGCCGCAGUGAAUAGGCCCAAGCGACUGUUUAUCAAAAACACAGGUCUCUGCUAAACCGUAAGGUGAUGUAUAGGGGCUGACGCCUGCCCGGUGCUGGAAGGUUAAGAGGAGUGGUUAGCUUCUGCGAAGCUACGAAUCGAAGCCCCAGUAAACGGCGGCCGUAACUAUAACGGUCCUAAGGUAGCGAAAUUCCUUGUCGGGUAAGUUCCGACCCGCACGAAAGGCGUAACGAUUUGGGCACUGUCUCAACGAGAGACUCGGUGAAAUCAUAGUACCUGUGAAGAUGCAGGUUACCCGCGACAGGACGGAAAGACCCCGUGGAGCUUUACUGUAGCCUGAUAUUGAAAUUCGGCACAGCUUGUACAGG